GAUGAACGCUAGCGGCAGGCCUAACACAUGCAAGUCGAGGGGCAGCACGUCUUCGGAUGGUGGCGACCGGCGCACGGGUGCGUAACGCGUAUGCAACCUACCUCUUACAGUGGGAUAGCCCAGAGAAAUUUGGAUUAAUACCGCAUAGUAUACAGAUUCAGCAUUGGGACUGUAUUAAACAUUUAUGGGUAAGAGAUGGGCAUGCGUUCUAUUAGUUAGUUGGAGUGGUAACGGNACCCCAAGACAGCGAUAGAUAGGGGCCCUGAGAGGGGGAUCCCCCACACUGGUACUGAGACACGGACCAGACUCCUAC
rnacentral:rRNA from 1 species